rnacentral:rRNA from 1 species
CGGCCCAGACUCCUACGGGAGGCAGCAGUAGGGAAUCUUCCGCAAUGGACGAAAGUCUGACGGAGCAACGCCGCGUGAGUGAUGAAGGUUUUCGGAUCGUAAAGCUCUGUUGUUAGGGAAGAACAAGUACCGUUCGAAUAGGGCGGUACCUUGACGGUACCUAACCAGAAAGCCACGGCUAACUACGUGCCAGCAGCCGCGGUAAUACGUAGGUGGCAAGCGUUGUCCGGAAUUAUUGGGCGUAAAGGGCUCGCAGGCGGUUUCUUAAGUCUGAUGUGAAAGCCCCCGGCUCAACCGGGGAGGGUCAUUGGAAACUGGGGAACUUGAGUGCAGAAGAGGAGAGUGGAAUUCCACGUGUAGCGGUGAAAUGCGUAGAGAUGUGGAGGAACACCAGUGGCGAAGGCGACUCUCUGGUCUGUAACUGACGCUGAGGAGCGAAAGCGUGGGGAGCGAACAGGAUUAGAUACCCUGGUAGUCCACGCCGUAAACGAUGAGUGCUAAGUGUUAGGGGGUUUCCGCCCCUUAGUGCUGCAGCUAACGCAUUAAGCACUCCGCCUGGGGAGUACGGUCGCAAGACUGAAACUCAAAGGAAUUGACGGGGGCCCGCACAAGCGGUGGAGCAUGUGGUUUAAUUCGAAGCAACGCGAAGAACCUUACCAGGUCUUGACAUCCUCUGACAAUCCUAGAGAUAGGACGUCCCCUUCGGGGGCAGAGUGACAGGUGGUGCAUGGUUGUCGUCAGCUCGUGUC